GAUGAACGCUAGCGGCAGGCCUAACGCAUGCAAGUCGAGGGGGAGGUUACUUUCGGGUAACUGAGACCGGCGUACGGGUGCGUAACGCGUAUACAAUCUGCCUUUCACUGGGGGAUAGCCCGAAGAAAUUUGGAUUAAUACCCCAUAGUAUAGUAAUACGGCAUCGUGAUGCUAUUAAAGCUUAGGUGGUGAAAGAUGAGUAUGCGUUCUAUUAGCUAGUUGGAGAGGUAACGGCUCCCCAAGGCGAUGAUAGAUAGGGGUUCUGAGAGGGAUGUCCCCCACACUGGUACUGAGAUACGGACCAGACUCCUACGGGAGGCAGCAGUGAGGAAUAUUGGACAAUGGUCGGAAGACUGAUCCAGCCAUGCCGCGUGCAGGAUGAAGGUCUUAUGGAUUGUAAACUGCUUUUGUAAGGGAAGAAUAAGGGCUACGCGUAGUUUGAUGACGGUACCUUACGAAUAAGCAUCGGCUAACUCCGUG
rnacentral:rRNA from 1 species